AACGAACGCUGGCGGCGUGCCUCAUACAUGCAAGUCGUACGCGAAUCCUGCCGCAAGGCAGGGUUUGAGUGGCAAACGGGUGCGUAACACGUAGGUAAUCUUCCUUUGAGUUGGGGAUAAACCCUCGAAAGGGGGUCUAAUACCGAAUAACACUUCUGGUUGGCAUCAACCGGAAAUUAAAGAUGGCCUCUGCUUGCAAGCUAUCGCUCGGAGAUGAGCCUGCGGCCGAUUAGUUAGUUGGCGGGAUAAAAGCCCACCAAGACUUCGAUCGGUAGCCGGUCUGAGAGGAUGUCCGGCCACACUGGGACUGAGAUACGGCCCAGACUCCUACGGGAGGCAGCAGUCGAGAGGCUUCGGCAAUGGGGGAAACCCUGACCGAGCGACGCCGCGUGGAGGAUGAAGGGCCCUUGGGUUGUAAACUCCUGUCAUGUGGGAAGAAACCUCACGGGUUCGAAUAGGGCCGUGACUUGACGGUACCACAAGAGGAAGCUCCGGCUAACUCCGUGCCAGCCGCCGC
rnacentral:rRNA from 1 species